rnacentral:lncRNA from 1 species
CAUGCAUACAAGCAAAACAUACAAAUUAUUGGAACGAAGGAUGCACAUAAAAUCGGUCAAAUAACCAGUUAAUUUCAACUUAACUUUACACAACAAGCUUCUUGGGAUACUUCAGAUCUGCGAAAAAUAUUUUUUUUGUUUAUAGAUUUUUCAAAAAAUCAGAUGCCCAAAACAGAUAGACAAAAAUGCAGAUGCCCAAAAUAUCUUACUGUAUUGAACAAGCUGUUGUUUCAAAAUUUGUGGCUAAAUGAAAAAAAAUAAUCAAUUCAGCAAGAAAAAAAAUACAUGGAGAUCGCAAGAAUUAAAGAUGCAGUCGAGGGAGGAGGCCGAGAUCUGGAAGCUAGGGCUGGGCGACGCCGUAGUUUGAAACUCGGACGGCGGCGGCUGGAUAAGGGCUGAGCAGAGGGAGGCAGCGGCUCAUUUAUCGUCGUCGAGGAGAGAGGCGACACCUCGUGGAGCGUCGUCUAGAUGUGAGGCCGGAGUUGGUAGUUUAGGGAUCUAAGGGUUUUCGGACCGCGGCUUUGCGGUUAAACGGUUGCAGGUUUUUCUCCGGCAGAGGGAGAAAGAAGACGAUAGAGAGAACGUUUGAGCUUCUCGCCGGCAGGUGGAAGAAAGUCGGCAGAGGGUGAGGCAGAGGGAGAGAGAAAACAAGGGAGAGCACGGAUGGGAGAAGAAAUGAGAGAGAAGAAGCGGCGCUGAACCCUAAUUUUAGAGGAGAUGAGUAUUUAGGCUGUAUUUUAGGGUUGAAAAGUGUGGAUGGGCUGUAUUUAUGUAAUUGGGCUGAAUUUAUUGUA